UGUUCCCAGCCACACCGGGCAGGAUGGCGCCCGGUGAUGGCGUCGCGUCCAAUCGGUGUGGCGAGAG
rnacentral:snoRNA from 18 species